rnacentral:rRNA from 1 species
GAUGAACGCUGGCGGCGUGCCUAAUACAUGCAAGUCGAACGAAACUUCUUUAUCACCGAGUGCUUGCACUCACCGAUGAAGGGUUGAGUGGCGAACGGGUGAGUAACACGUGGGCAACCUGCCCGAAAGAGGGGGAUAACACUUGGAAACAGGUGCUAAUACCGCAUAACCAUGAACACCGCAUGGUGUUUAUGUGAAAGGUGGUUUCGGCUACCGCUUUCGGAUGGGCCCGCGGCGCAUUAGCUAGUUGGUGGGGUAAAGGCUUACCAAGGCAAUGAUGCGUAGCCGAACUGAGAGGUUGAUCGGCCACAUUGGGACUGAGAUACGGCCCAAACUCCUACGGGAGGCAGCAGUAGGGAAUCUUCCACAAUGGGCGAAAGCCCGAUCCAGCAAUAUCGCGUGAGUGAAGAAGGGCAAUGCCGCUUGUAAAGCUCUUUCGUCGAGUGCGCGAUCAUGACAGGACUCGAGGAAGAAGCCCCGGCUAACUCCGUGCCAGCAGCCGCAGUAACAC